rnacentral:rRNA from 1 species
AUUGAACGCUGGCGGCAGGCCUAACACAUGCAAGUCGAGCGAGCGGCGGACGGGUGAGUAAUGUAUGGGGACUGCCCGAUAGAGGGGGAUAACUACUGGAAACGGUGGCUAAUACCGCAUACUAUCGGAUAACCCAUAUGGGAUUAGCUAGUAGGUGGGGUAAAGGCUCACCUAGGCGACGAUCUCUAGCUGGUCUGAGAGGAUGAUCAGCCGCACUGGGACGGAGACACGGCCCAGAGUCCUACGGAGGCAGCAGUAGGGAAUAUUGCACAAUGAGCGCAAGCCUGAUGAAGCCAUGCCGCGUGUAUGAAGAAGGCAUUAGGGUUGUAAGGUACUGUCUGCGGGGAGGCGUUACCAACAGAAGAAGCGCCGGCUAAAUCCGUGCCAGCAGCCGCGGUAAUAC